rnacentral:rRNA from 1 species
GUUUUAGUGACAAAGGAAUAACAAUACAGGACUUUUUGGUUUUGUAAUUGGAAUGAGUUAAGUAUAAACCCCUUUACAAGUAUCAAUUGGAGGGCAAGUCUGGUGCCAGCAGCCGCGGUUAUUCCAGCUCCAAUAGCGUAUAUUAAAGUUGUUGCAGUUAAAAAGCUCGUAGUUGGAUUUCUGUUAAUAAUUUAUAUAAAAUAUUUUGAUGAAUAUUUAUAUAAUAUUAACAUAAUUCAUAUUACUAUAACGGUGGUUGAUUUUUGUUGACUGA